rnacentral:tRNA from 1 species
GGUCCCUUCGUCUAGCGGUCUAGGACACCGGCCUUUCACGUCGGUAACACGGGUUCGAUUCCCGUAGGGAUCA